UGGGGAAUAUUGCACAAUGGGCGCAAGCCUGAUGCAGCCAUGCCGCGUGUAUGAAGAAUGCCUUCGGGUUGUAAAGUACUUUCAGUCGGGAGGAAGGUGGUAAGGUUAAUAACCUUAUCAAUUGACGUUACCGACAGAAGAAGCACCGGCUAACUCCGUGCCAGCAGCCGCGGUAAUACGGAGGGUGCAAGCGUUAAUCGGAAUUACUGGGCGUAAAGCGCACGCAGGCGGUUGAUUGAGUCAGAUGUGAAAUCCCCGGGCUUAACCCGGGAAUUGCAUCUGAUAAUGGGCAGCUAUAGUCUUGUAGAGGGGGGUAGAAAUCCAUGUGUAGCGGUGAAAAGCGUAGAGAUGUGGAGGACUACCGGUGGCGAAGGCGGCCCCCUGGACAAAGACUGACGCUCAGGUGCGAAAGCGUGGGGAGCAAACAGG
rnacentral:rRNA from 1 species